AAAUUGAAGAGUUUGAUCAUGGCUCAGAUUGAACGCUGGCGGCAGGCCUAACACAUGCAAGUCGAACGGUAACAGGAAACAGCUUGCUGUUUCGCUGACGAGUGGCGGACGGGUGAGUAAUGUCUGGGAAACUGCCUGAUGGAGGGGGGUAACUACUGGAAACGGUAGCUAAUACCG
rnacentral:rRNA from 1 species